rnacentral:lncRNA from 1 species
GGAACCGUAAAAUUGGGGUCAAAACUCUAAUUUGGCAUUUAAAUUAGAAAGAUCAUAUCAUAGGGCACAUGUAUACUAAGUUUCAUGUUGAUUGGACUUCAACUUCAUCAAAAACUACCUUGACCAAAAACUUUAACCUGAAGCCAAAAACUUUAACCUGAAAUUUGCACUAUCAUUUUCUAUGUUCAGUGAACCGUGAAAUUGGGGUUAAAACUCUUAUUUGGCAUUUAAAUUAGAAAGAUCAUAUCAUAGGACACAUGUGUACUAAGUUUCAAGUUGAUUGGACUUCAACUUCAU